UACGUAGGGUCCGAGCGUGUCCGGAAUUACUGGGCGUAAAGAGCUCGUAGGUGGUUUGUCGCGUUGUUCGUGAAAACUCACAGCUUAACUGUGGGCGUGCGGGCGAUACGGGCAGACUUGAGUACUGCAGGGGAGACUGGAAUUCCUGGUGUAGCGGUGAAAUGCGCAGAUAUCAGGAGGAACACCGGUGGCGAAGGCGGUUCUCUGGAACGCAACUGACGCUGAGACGCGAAAGCGUGGGGAGCGAACAGG
rnacentral:rRNA from 1 species